AUGUUACUAAGUUCCUGCAUUGUCAAGUUCUUGUUUAAUGUUCCUGUCUAUGCUUAUGUACCUUUCGAAGAUUUACCUUGGGGAGGCCCCUGUGUUCAUGUUCAUGGAAAUACCUUGGAUUACUUAUAUAUUUUUGCACUCCUGGAUUUUGGGGUUUACCCUGACAUUUUUGGAUUCCUGCUAAUGAACUCUGAUUUAUUUAGUAUACAGUAUUGCAUUUUAUAUACUGACUGUCUCUUUUGGAUUUGACCUUUUUUCCCUUUUAUUUGCUUUAAUAAACAUUUUAUUACUGGAUCCCUGGACUCUGGUGUGGUGCUGAGUGAAAGGGUGUCUCAGUGCUAGGGUGCAACAGUUGUAUGAGAGGAAGGGAGGCUGGAAUGAGUACAGCAUGAAGAAAAUGAUGUUUCUACUUCUUCACUUUGUGCUUCCUUGCCACAACGUUGUGCUUCUACCAUUUUAAAGUUGAUCUUUCUUUUUUCUCUCUUUCCAUGUGAAAGUGCAUUUCUACAUUAUUUUUACAGUAGAGUCUCACUUAUCCAAGCCUCGCUUAUCCAAGCCUCUGGAUUAUCCAAGCCAUUUUUGUAGUCAAUGUUUUCAAUAUAUCGUGAUAUUUUGGUGCUAAAUUCAUAAAUACAGUAAUUACAACAUAACAUUACUGCGUAUUGAACUACUUUUUCUGUCAAAUUUGUUGUAUAACAUGAUGUUUUGGUGCUUAAUUUGUAAAAUCAUAACCUAAUUUGAUGUUUAAUAGGCUUUUCCUUAAUCCCUCCUUAUUAUCCAAGAUAUUCGCUUAUCCAAGCUUCUGAUGGCCCGUUUAGCUUGGAUAAGUGAGACUCUACUGUAUUUAUAAAGUACAUUUUUAUUUUUUAUUUAAAAACACAUAACACAAAAUGGGUGGGGUGAGGUUUGGGGGGUCAAAAUGGAUUAAUGGCAUUUCAGUGCAUUUCAGUGGGAAAGUCUGCUUUGCAAUAAGAAAAAUUUGAGUUAAGAGUUCAGUCACAGAAUGAAUUAAACUCUUAACUCAAGGUAUCACUGUACUGGAUUAGUUGAAGUUUUGCUUAUUUAUUUCCUGUCCAUAAUAAUAAAUAAGUUUAAAUGUGAUAAAAAUAAAGGAAUCACAUCCAAUUGGGAUUGCUGGUUUAGCUGCCCAGAGGCCGGAGGAACAAUAAGAGGAGUGGUGGUUCUCAUGAAGCUUUUCCUUGAUUUGCGUCUACUGGGAGGAGGCUGAUAGUCAUGCAGUGGAUGGUUUUCACAGUGUUCAACCUUAUUUCUCUCACUGCUAGCAGCAUCAUACAUCGCGGGGGAGGGGGGGCAAUGCCAGUUGAAGCUAGUUGCACUUCUAAUGGACAUGAUGGAUACUUCAAAUUUACCAGACAAAGUUGAAUCCAGAGUAGGUUGAAUCUUGUUGAAUGGGAUUGAAGCAAUUUUUGUCUUGUCCAAAUGAAGAUUUGGUUUGUUGUCUCCCAUUCUAUUCAUGACCUCUACCAGAGAUAAAUCUAGCACUCUCACUACUUCAUGUGAAUUAGAAGAGACCAGAAAAGAUCCUGCAGCAUUACAGCUAAUAGGUUAAUAGUAAGUCUUCCAAAAUGCUGUGUCCUACCGCUUGGCAACUUCACAGCUUUCGUAAGAGCAAAGUAGGCUCAAAUGAACAAGAGCUCCUAAUCAGUCACAGGAAGGCGUGUUGAC
ensembl:lncRNA